rnacentral:rRNA from 1 species
UACGUAGGGUGCAAGCGUUGUCCGGAAUUAUUGGGCGUAAAGAGCUCGUAGGCGGUCUGUCGCGUCUGCUGUGAAAACUCAGGGCUUAACCCUGAACUUGCAGUGUGUACGGGCAGACUAGAGUGCGGUAGGGGAGACUGGAAUUCCUGGUGUAGCGGUGAAAUGCGCAGAUAUCUGCAGGAACACCCGUGGCGAAGGCGGCUGACUGGAUCGCAACUGACGCUGAGGAACGAAAGCUAGGGGAGCAAACAGG